GACGAACGCUGGCGGCGUGCUUAACACAUGCAAGUCGAACGGAAAGGCCUGCUUUCCCUUGUGGAUUGCGGGUACUCGAGUGGCGAACGGGUGAGUAACACGUGAGUGAUCUGCCCCCAACUUGGGUAUAAGCCUGGGAAACUGGGUCUAAUUCCCGAUAGGACUGCAGGGUGGUGCCUGUGGUGGAAAACGAUUUUCUAGUGGUUGGGGAUGAGCUCGCGGCCUAUCAGCUUGUUGGUGGGGUAAUGGCCUACCAAGGCGGCGACGGGUAGCCGGCCUGAGAGGGUGGACGGCCACAUUGGGACUGAGAUACGGCCCAGACUCCUACGGGAGGCAGCAGUGGGGAAUAGGGCACAAUGGGCGGAAGCCUGAUGCAGCGACGCCGCGUGGGGGAUGACGGCCUUCGGGUUGUAAACUCCUUUCGACCGCGAGGAAGCCACCUGGUUGGAAGGGUGGUGACGGUAGUGGUAGAAGAAGCACCGGCUAACUACGUG
rnacentral:rRNA from 1 species